AUGGCCAGGGUAUUAGCAUUUUUCUGCUUCUUCUCCUUGUCGUGCAUAUGCUCCCAUGCUCGGCUCCCUCCCUCUCCAAGGAGCAGCAAUGGCACGGCUGACGAGCUCGCACUCCUCUCUUUCAAGUCCAUGCUAUCCUCCCGCUUGCUGGAUUCAUGGAACACGUCAAGCCACUACUGCAGCUGGCCAGGGGUUGCAUGCGGCCGUCGUCACCCUGAUAGGGUCAUCUCGUUGCGGAUGGGCUCCUUCAAUCUAACAGGGCACAUCUCACCAUUCUUGGGAAACUUGUCCUUUCUCAGAGAGCUUGACCUCCGCGACAACCAGCUCAUCGGGCAGGUACCUCCAGAACUUGGCCGUCUCGGCAGACUUCAAUUGCUCAACUUUAGUGCGAAUUUUCUCCAAGGCGAGAUCCCAACUGAGAUUGGUGCCUUGAAGAAUCUGUACAUCUUGAACCUACAAGAGAAUGGAUUCUCCGGAGGGAUCCCUCAUUCUCUGGCAGACUUGCCGUGGCUCGAAUUCUUGUUUUUAUCCAAUAAUAGAUUAUUUGGCGAGAUACCGUCAUCUCUAGGCAACCUCUCCCUUAUGCAUCUUGAUCUCAUGGGUAACAACCUAUCGGGACCUAUCCCUCCAUCUCUGGGAAUGAUGUCCAGCUUAUCAUGGCUCAGCUUAGGCUACAAUAAUCUAAGUGGACCGAUUCCGGUGUCUAUUUGGAACAUUUCCUCUCUGAUGGGUCUAAGUGUCGAGCACAAUAUGCUAGGUGGCACAUUGCCUUCAGAGGCAUUCAGCUCACUUUCCUAUCUCGAGUUUAUACUGAUGGACAAUAAUCUCUUUCAUGGACGUCUACCAGCCUCAGUAGCGAAUGUCACUAACGUGAAACGGCUCCAGUUUGGCCCUAACUUCUUCAGCGGCACUGUACCUGCCGACCUUGGAAGGUUAGGUUAUCUCUUGUCCCUUGAGCUCUCAAGCACUUCGCUUGAAGCCAAAGAACCCAACGACUGGGAAUUCAUAACUGCCUUAACAAAUUGCUCCCAGUUACAAAAUUUGGAAUUAGGUUCCUCCAAGUUUGGGGGUGUCCUUCCUUCUUCAGUUUCUAACCUUUCCACUUCGCUAAAACGUUUAGACCUUCAAUCCAACACAAUUUCAGGAAACAUACCAAAAGAUAUUGGCAAUCUCGCAAACUUAGAAUAUCUUGUGCUAGAUAGUAACUCUUUCAGAGGGACUCUUCCCUCCACCUUUGGGAGGCUCAAUAAACUUCAGCUUUUCUCUGUAGAAAACAACAAAAUUAGUGGGUCAAUCCCAUUGACGUUUGGAAAUCUUACAGAAUUGAUCAGUUUAGAACUCCAAGCAAAUGCUUUUAGUGGCAAUAUACCAAGCACGGUAGGAAACCUGACCAAGUUGUUGACACUGAACCUUGCCAGCAACAAAUUUUCAGGCCAAAUUCCUAUUGCGGUAUUCAACAUCUCCACACUUUCCCUAAUUUUGGAUCUGUCGUACAACAACUUUGAGGGAUCAAUACCACAAGAAAUAGGGCAUCUAAAAAAUCUUGUAGAAUUCCAUGCUGAGUCCAACAUGUUAUCAGGUGAAAUUCCUGUUGGCUUGGGUGAGUGCCAGCUUCUUCAGAAUAUCUAUAUCCAAAACAAUUUUCUAAAUGGUACUAUCCCGUCACUCCUUAGUCAACUGAAAGGUCUUCAAAAUCUUGACUUCUCGAACAACAAUCUUUCAGGUCUGAUACCUAGCUUCUUAGGCAACCUUAGCACGCUCUAUCAACUAAAUCUUUCAUUCAAUAGCUUUGCCGGCCAAGUGCCAACCUUUGGUGUUUUUGCAAAUUCUUCGGCGAUCUCAAUUGAAAACAAUGGCAAACUCUGCGGAGGCAUACCUACUCUACAUUUGCCUCCUUGUUCAUUGGACAUACCAAAGAAAAGGCAUAGAUUUCUUAUAAUUCCUAUUUCCCUUCCUCUCGUUACAACAAUUGUCGUACUUGCAUUGCUAUGCAAGCUCUGCAUAGUGCACAAGAAAAGCAAACAAAAGAUACCUUCCACAACAUCCAGACAAGGCCUCCCAAUGAUCUCUUAUUUGCAGUUGGCAAAAGCAACGGAUGGUUUCUCGUCAACAAAUUUAAUAGGUUCUGGAUCAUUUGGGUCAGUGUACAAAGGAGUCAUAGAUGACCAAGCUGAAGAAAGUACAAACCUUGUUGCAGUGAAGGUGUUGAAAGUUCACACUCCUGGGGCACUUAAGAGUUUCAUUGCUGAAUGUGAAGCACUAAGAAAUGUGAGGCACCGAAAUCUUGUGAAGAUAAUUACGGCUUGCUCAAGCAACGAUAACAAGGGGAAUGACUUCAAAGCUAUUGUGUUUGACUUCAUGCCAAAUGGUAGUUUAGAUGUUUGGCUACAUCCUUAUACAAAUGAGCAAACAGAGUGUAUGUACCUAGAUCUACUUCAAAGAGUGACCAUACUACUCGAUGUGGCUUAUGCAUUGGAUUAUCUCCAUUGUCAAGGCCCUGCACCUGUUGUACAUUGUGAUCUUAAGCCAAGUAACGUGCUCUUGGAUGCUGAUAUGGUAGCCCACGUUGGAGACUUUGGACUUGCUAGGAUUCUUGUUGAUGAAAGUUCGUUCUGCCAGCACUCAACGAGCUCAAUGGGUCUUAGAGGAACAAUUGGUUAUGCUGCUCCAGAGUAUGGUGCUGGAAAUAUGGUGUCAACACACGGAGACAUUUACAGCUUCGGAAUUCUUGUCUUGGAAACUAUAACUGCUAAGAGGCCCACUGAUAGCAGAUUUGGACAAGGAUUGGGUCUAUGUGAGUAUGUCGAGCUGGCCCUACAUAAUAACAGUGUGAUGGGCGUUGUUGACUCAAGGCUGCCUUUGGACCUCAAAAGUGACCAUCAGACCAUUGAUUAUCAUUCAAAUAAGAGAAACGUUGAUUGCCUCGUUUCAGUACUUAGACUUGGAAUAUCUUGCUCUCAGGAAUCACCAUCGUCUAGAAUGCCAACACGGGGUAUCAUCAAGGAACUGAAGGCCGUCAAAGAAUCUUUGUCAACACAAUGA
rnacentral:rRNA from 1 species